rnacentral:rRNA from 1 species
AUACGUAGGUGGCGAGCGUUAUCCGGAUUUACUGGGUGUAAAGGGCGCGUAGGCGGGGGCGCAAGUCAGGUGUGAAAUCUAUGGGCUUAACCCAUAAACUGCACUUGAAACUGCAUCUCUUGAGUGCUGGAGAGGUAGACGGAAUUCCUUGUGUAGCGGUGAAAUGCGUAGAUAGAAGGAAGAACACCAGUGGCGAAGGCGGUCUACUGGACAGUAACUGACGCUGAGGCGCGAAAGCGUGGGGAGCAAACAGGAUUAGAUACCCUGGUAGUCCACGCUGUAAACGAUGAAUACUAGGUGUGGGGGGACUGACCCCCUCCGUGCCGCAGUUAACACAAUAAGUAUUCCACCUGGGGAGUACGGCCGCAAGGUUGAAACUCAAAUGAAUUGACGGGG